GACGAACGCUGGCGGCGUGCUUAACACAUGCAAGUCGAACGGAAAGGCCCUGCUUUUGUGGGGUGCUCGAGUGGCGAACGGGUGAGUAACACGUGAGUAACCUGCCCUUGACUUUGGGAUAACUUCAGGAAACUGGGGCUAAUACCGGAUAGGAGCUCCUGCUGCAUGGUGGGGGUUGGAAAGUUUCGGCGGUUGGGGAUGGACUCGCGGCUUAUCAGCUUGUUGGUGGGGUAGUGGCUUACCAAGGCUUUGACGGGUAGCCGGCCUGCGAGGGUGACCGGCCACAUUGGGACUGAGAUACGGCCCAGACUCCUACGGGAGGCAGCAGUGGGGAAGAGUGCACAAGGGGCGGAAGCCUGAUGCAGCAACGCCGCGUGCGGGAUGACGGCCUUCGGGUUGUAAACCGCUUUCGCCUGUGACGAAGCGUGAGUGACGGUAAUGGGUAAAGAAGCACCGGCUAACUACGUG
rnacentral:rRNA from 1 species